rnacentral:rRNA from 1 species
AACGAACGCUGGCGGCAGGCUUAACACAUGCAAGUCGAGCGCCCCGCGAAGGGGAGCGGACGAGACGGGUGGGUAACGCGUGGGAAUCUACCUUUUGCUACGGAAUAACUCAGGGAAACUUGUGCUAAUACCGUAUGUGCCCUUCGGGGGAAAGAUUUAUCGGCAAAGGACGAGCCCGCGUUGGAUUAGCUAGUUGGUGGGGUAAAGGCCUACCAAGGCGACGAUCCAUAGCUGGUCUGAGAGGAUGAUCAGCCACACCGGGACUGAGACACGGCCCGG